rnacentral:sRNA from 1 species
CCUGGCUUUGCUUCUCAUGUCCAUACCAGAACCACCAACCC